rnacentral:lncRNA from 1 species
CUAGCUUUUCUUCAAAGAUUAGGAAUCUAAUUUUUUAGUACUUCUCAAGUACUUAAGGAUAUUUUCACAGCAAUCUAGCACUCCCAGCUCGGAUUUGACUGAUAUCUGCUCGUGAUAUUCACAGUAAUGUCUAUAUCAGAUUAAGUACAUAGCAUGGCAUACUCUUAUGCCCAAGAGGUAGAAGUUUCCUUUCAAGAUUUUCUAUAUUGAACUUUUUUAGCACUUUCUCUAUGUACAGCUUUUGUG